rnacentral:rRNA from 1 species
GACGAACCGUGCGAACGUUGUUCGGAUUCACUGGGCUUAAAGGGUGUGUAGGCGGUCUGUCAAGUCAGGGGUGAAAUCUUUCGGCUCAACCGGAAAACUGCCUUUGAUACUGACAGGCUCGAGCGGGGUAGGGGUUGCGGGAACUACCAGUGGAGCGGUGAAAUGCGUUGAUAUUGGUAGGAACGCCGGUGGCGAAAGCGCGCAACUGGACCUCUUCUGACGCUGAAACACGAAAGCUAGGGGAGCAAACGGG